GUAGGUGGCAAGCGUUGUCCGGAAUUAUUGGGCGUAAAGCGCGCGCAGGCGGUUCUUUAAGUCUGAUGUGAAAGCCCACGGCUCAACCGUGGUGGAUCAUUGGAAACUGGAGAACUUGAGUACAGAAGAGGAAAGCGGAAUUCCACGUGUAGCGGUGAAAUGCGUAGAGAUGUGGAGGAACACCAGUGGCGAAGGCGGCUUUCUGGUCUGUAACUGACGCUGAGGCGCGAAAGCGUGGGGAGCAAACAGGAUUAGAUACCCUGGUAGUCCACGCCGUAAACGAUGAGUGCUAAGUGUUAGGGGGGUUUUCCGCCCCCCUUAGUGCUGCAGCUAACGCAUUAAGCACUCCGCCUGGGAGUACGGCCGCAAGGCUG
rnacentral:rRNA from 1 species